UACAGAGGUCCCAAGCGUUGUUCGGAUUCACUGGGCGUAAAGGGUGCGCAGGCGGCCAAGUGUGUUAGGCGUGAAAGCCCGAGGCUUAACCUCGGAAUUGCACCUAAAACUACAUGGCUAGAGUACUGGAGAGGGUAACGGAAUUCACGGUGUAGCAGUGAAAUGCGUAGAUAUCAGGAGGAACACCGGUGGUGUAGACGGCUUUCUGGACCGUAACUGACGCUGAGACACGAAAGCGUGGGUAGCAAACAGG
rnacentral:rRNA from 1 species